AAAAUACUAGUAAUAAAAAUGCACCGAUGUCUCUAGUGCCUAGAACAAUACCUGGCAUAUAGCAAAUGCACAUUAGAACAGCACAUGUCUGAACUC